CCUCUCCACAUCUACCAGCACUGACUGAGACACCAGCUAUAUGAGAACAUAAAGUAACCAUGGCUGUACAGUAUGCCCUGUACAGUGUGUCUGUCCUGUCAGACUGUGGAUUGGUUGUGGCUUGCCUUGUGUGAGUGAGAGGCUGUUAAAAUGGAGACAGUGUUUGACUCUCUGCUCUCUCCUCAUGCGUGACCCUUAUAUGAGCCGAAUCAGGGUCAAAUGGCAGAUCAGCUUCAAACACAGUCUCUGCUGGAGGAUGGAAGAUCAGUACUGAUGGAAAUGAAAGCAAGGCGGUGUGGUGAUGUUCACACUCAUGGAGGUGGCAGAGGAAGAGGGAACAGCAGGCAAGAGCCCUUUUUAAACAUGGCACUUGCGGGCGUACGCCGGCCCACCUGUGUGGAAACAUCGGGGAGGCGUUGAUCCGGGUCAAAACUGAAAAUGAAGAUGAAAAGCAGAGCGUUGGGAAGCCUGUUCAGUGUCUGCCUCGUUGACCCUGUGUUUGCGCAAACACCAGAUGACCACUGCAGCUCUACAUCAAUGCCACAAUCCUGUAAAAAUGUUCCAUUAGAUUUCACUGUUUUUCUUUCGUUCUGGGGAUUUAAAGAAUUUAAAACAUUCCAUAU